UGCCAGCCGCCGCGGUAAUACGGAGGGUGCAAGCGUUAAUCGGAAUUACUGGGCGUAAAGCGCGCGUAGGCGGGAUGUUAAGUCUCAUGUGAAAUCCCAGGGCUCAACCUUGGAACUGCAUGGGAUACUGGCAUUCUAGAAUACAGUAGAGGGAGGUGGAAUUUCAGGUGUAGCGGUGAAAUGCGUAGAGAUCUGAAGGAACAUCAGUGGCGAAGGCGGCCUUCUGGACUGAUAUUGACGCUGAGGUGCGAAAGCGUGGGUAGCGAACAGGAUUAGAUA
rnacentral:rRNA from 1 species